rnacentral:lncRNA from 1 species
GUGAAGAUAAGCUAUCAAUUUACAUUACCAGGGUGAAAUUCAACAGAAAUGCUUUUGGAUAAAGAUGUUCAGGCCCACAGGGAAUUUCCUUGUUGACAAAUUGUGAAGGAGGAAGUUGAGUGAGGCCUGAGACAGCAAUGUUUCGUUUAGCCUGGCGGUGGCCCUCCUUGUCUUCAAGAAGAGCAUCCGUGGCUAGCAGUGGAAGAUGGGGUUGGGCCCCAGGUGAGUGACCCUUUGUCGAGUUUGCAGAAUUUGGUCUUGGCGGGUUGAGGAUCUCUUGUAUUUUGUGCGCUCUGUUCCUGCUCCAGGACUGACCAGGCAGUUCUGCCACCUUCUAGGAGUGUGAAAUUGGGAAGUAAUUCAAAAUGUAUGUGCCUAGCAUUCCUUUUAUGUAACAUGAGGGGAAUAGAAGUACCAAACCGAUGCAGUUCAGUGGAGAAUUAAAUGAGAUAGUCACAAGUAAAAGGUGGUAAGUGUGGUUCAUUUUAUUAAUUUUCUUUUAAUUUCCCGAGAAGCCCCAGUUACCUGAAAGCUUCUGUGAGCCUGGGAAGGGAUCAGAGUUCCACCUGCAGUGCUAUUUUGCCCCUUCUUUCUGAUCCUUACAGGAAGCAGGACGAUUCCUGGAUUCCCUUUUUAAAAAAAUGGUCACAGGAAUGAGGAAAGAAUGACUCUGGCUCCUAGCAGCAGAAUCUUAACUGAGUAUGACUUAGCAUCCUUCUUCUUGCUGUGUCAUCUCUCUUCUCAGGGCAGAAGAUAUUUACUAAUUAGCACAUUCUGCUAGCACAUCUGUGGGAAAAGAGACGCGAUCUUACUGCAUUGACCAG